AACGAACGCUGGCGGCAGGCUUAACACAUGCAAGUCGAGCGCCCCGCAAGGGGAGCGGCAGACGGGUGAGUAACGCGUGGGAACGUACCCUUUGCUACGGAAUAGCUCCGGGAAACUGGAAUUAAUACCGUAUGUGCCCUCCGGGGGAAAGAUUUAUCGGCAAAGGAUCGGCCCGCGUUGGAUUAGCUAGUUGGUGUGGUAAUGGCCUACCAAUGCGACGAUCCAUAGCUGGUCUGAGAGGAUGAUCAGCCACAUUGGGACUGAGACACGGCCCAAACUCCUGCGUGAGGCAGCAGUGGGGAAUAUUGGACAAUGGGCGCAAGCCUGAUCCAGCCAGGCCGCGUGAGUGAUGAAGGCCUUAGGGUUGUAAAGCUCUUUCACCGGAGAAGAUAAUGACGGUAUCCGGAGAAGAAGCCCCGGCUAACUUCGUGCCAGCCGCCGCCGUAAAAC
rnacentral:rRNA from 1 species